rnacentral:rRNA from 1 species
UACAGAGGGUGCAAGCGUUAAUCGGAGUUACUGGGCGUAAAGGGCGCGUAGGUGGGUGCGUAAGUGAGUUGUGAAAUCCCUGGGCUUAACCUAGGAACUGCAACUUAUACUGUGUACCUUGAGUACUGUAGAGGGUAGUGGAAUUUCCGGUGUAGCGGUGAAAUGCGUAGAGAUCGGAAGGAACACCAGUGGCGAAGGCGGCUACCUGGACAGAUACUGACACUGAGGCGCGAGAGCGUGGGUAG